GUGUAGUAGUGACGGGAAGCUCUGUCACCGCCGCCUUGACCACACCCUGCCAUCACCGUCGCCUCCACCAUGUCCGGCACCACGGGCUCAUCGAGCCAAAGAGAUGGCGGGUACUAUUUGAUGAGUUGCAUCAAGGAUGUUCCAACCCUCAGAGGUGACAACUACACUGAAUGAAGAAAGAAGGUCGACAAGCUUUUGUUUGUCAUUAAUCAACGAGAUGAACAACCGUCCUUGCUUGUUCGUGAGACAGUGAAGGGCUAGGUCUAUGCCACUCCUUUUAUAUGAGACCAACAUGUGAACCUACAAUGACAUGUAUGUCUCCUUCAUUUUCUCUGGAGAGACCAUGCGAAGAGGGGCAGAUCAACGGUGAUGGGCAUCAACAUGAUUUAGUAGCGGGAAAUGCUGGGAAUGAGAUACAUCAAAAAAUUCACCAACUGACUA